UCAAAUAUAAAGUAGCUAGUGGGUUCUCUCUUUCUAAAAUUUUCUUUCUGUCCCACCCUUCUCUUGUUUAUUCUUUGUUUAUCACAAUAACAAACUCAUUAUUGAAAUGCUACAAAAUUUGAAAUUGUCUUGCUAGUUUACUAAAACCUAGAUAUAUACAGCCUGUCACCAGAUCUUGCCAACAAAACCUAAUAGCCUGUAUCCAUAUCUUCUCUUCACAUCUAUAUAUAGCAGCAAGCUUGGAGAAGGGAAAAGAAACAAGAUAUCUCAGUUUGAGAAAGUAGAAGCUAAUAGCAAGCGAAAACACAUGGGUUGAGGGGAAUGUUGUCCGGCUCGAUGCUGCAAACUUAGCUAAUACAAUGUUGUCAAGUGACCGCUAAUUAUGUAAUUAGUCGGGUUGAUAGCUAAGUUUGUGUCAUCGGACCAGGCUUCAUUCCCCCCAACCAGUUUCUCGUGAGCUAGCUAAAUAUGCAUAUAUAUAUAUAUAUGUAAUUAAGUAUGUAGCACAAUACAUUUGUAGGUUUGUCUUAUAUAUCAUAUGUGUGUGCAGGCACCCAUUUGGUGAUACAUGUAUAAUAUAUAUCUUCAUACACACACACAUAUCAACAUGUGGAUGAUUCGAGAUGAUUUAGGAAAUCAUGAAUAUAUUGAUUGGUUUCCCUGCAGCAACUGCAAGCUUUAAGGGAGUAGAGGACACAAAUAUUGGAGUAAUGAUGGAUAGAUGAAUGCAAGAUCCUCCUUUUCUAGAGACAAAGGUAGCUAGAAUGAAAAACACAGAAAUUUGAGAUUAAUAGACAAGAAAGGGGAAUGAAGCAACGUCUGCAAUAAAUUUAGAUCCGAUGACAUUAGUUAAAACGAUAUUGUUUGUGUAUCUGAAUUAAUUUGCACUUGCUAGGCAUAUAUGCUAGUAGAUUGUCAUGAAUAACCUGAUAUUAGUGUGACUAGCUCCACUGAUUUUCAUAAUUUUCAAAGCCUUAAAGAUAGUUGUGUCAUAUAUCAUGUGCUUAGUACAACCACUAGCUAUCGAUAAGUCAAGAUUCCAAAGAGCUCCGCUUUGAAAAAAAAGAAGGUCGGUUGUCACAAAAAUCUGGUCUUAGCAUUGCUGCGGCUAUUUUAGAAAUUUAGCUUUUACAAAAUUUGGCUUCAGGCUCCAGCUGAUCAUUGAGCUUACUGCACUUUCUGUAAAUGAAGGAUGGCAAUUUCUGAUGCAAUGAUGGCAAAGAUAGAUGCUAAGAUAAUCGUUACUCAUCUAAUUAUAUAUUCCCCGAGGCUAGAAAUGUAUUUGAUUCUCUGCUAUCACUUGAUCUAGUUUCAUAUGCAUUAUAAUUCCUUCACUACAUCUUCGCUUGGAAGUGUCUUUGUUACUCUUUUAUGCAUCUUUAAAGUAACUUUUCACAUUCCAGAUUAUAA